CAUGCCUCCUUCCUCUUCUAUCUCUAAUAUCUAUCUCUCUUCCAUGUCCAAAGGUGUUGGACAAGCCAUUUGGUGGGUUCAAGAUGUCAAACGCCAUCAGUUCUACGUAAAGAGUCGAAAAGGCUAUGAUGAGGGGCUGAUCAGAGUCCUAUCGGCGAUCAGAUUUGAAUUUGGUCAAAAAGCUUCCAAUUCUAUCUAAGAGUAG
rnacentral:lncRNA from 1 species